UGUUCUGGCCAUAGCAGCUUGUCAAAACUUAAUCUCGUCUGAUGUCAGAAGCUAAGCAAGCCCAGGCUUGGUUAGUACUUGGAUGGGAGACCCCUGGGAAUACCAGCUGCCACAGUGG
rnacentral:rRNA from 1 species